rnacentral:rRNA from 1 species
UACGUAGGAGGCAAGCGUUGUCCGGAAUCACUGGGCGUAAAGCGCGUGUAGGCGGAUCGCUAAGUCUGUGGUGAAAGCGCCUGGCUUAACCGGGCGAGGUCCAUGGAAACUAGCGGUCUGGAGGCCGGUAGAGGGGGGUGGAAUUCCGGGUGUAGUGGUGAAAUGCGUAGAGAUCCGGAGGAACACCAGUGGCGAAGGCGGCCCCCUGGGCCGCGCCUGACGCUGAGGUGCGAAAGCCAGGGGAGCAAACGGG